UUUAACUAAAGGUGAUUGUAACUGAAAAACUCGAAAAGAAAGGAGUGUUGUUUAUCAGCUUUGCCUAUCUAAUACCCCAUGAGGGUGGAGUUAAAUCACAGCACUACAAUC